CGGUGUGCUUCUGCCAAAACCCAAAUUUUCUAUGGUUGACCUCGGAUCAGGUAGGGAUACCCGCUGAACUUAAGCAUAUCAAUAAGCGGAGGAA
rnacentral:rRNA from 1 species